rnacentral:rRNA from 1 species
GACGUAGGGCGCGAGCGUUGUCCGGAUUUAUUGGGCGUAAAGAGCUCGUAGGCGGCUUGUCGCGUCGACUGUGAAAACCCGCGGCUCAACUGCGGGCCUGCAGUCGAUACGGGCAGACUAGAGGUAGGUAGGGGAGAAUGGAAUUCCCGGUGUAGCGGUAAAAUGCGCAGAUAUCGGGAGGAACACCGGUGGCGAAGGCGGGUCUCUGGACAGUUCCUGACGCUGAGGCACGAAGGCCAGGGGAGCAAACGGG